rnacentral:tRNA from 1 species
UAGCUCAGUAGGUAGAGCAACUGACUUGUAAUCAGUAGGUCACCAGUUCGAUUCCGGUAGUCGGCACCA